rnacentral:rRNA from 1 species
CGAAAGCCUGACGCAGCGACGCCGCGUGGAGGAUGAAGGUCUUCGGAUUGUAAACUCCUGUCAGAGGUGAAGAAAGCCCUUCGGGGUCUGACGGUAACCUCAGAGGAAGCCCCGGCUAACUACGUGCCAGCAGCCGCGGUAAUACGUAGGGGGCAAACGUUGCUCGGAAUUACUGGGCGUAAAGGGUGAGCAGGUGGCUGAGAAAGUCGUUGAUGAAAUCCCCGGGCUUACCCCCGGAACUGUCUUCGAAACUUCUCAGCUUGAGGAUAGUCGAGGAGAACGGAAUUCCCGGUGGAGCGGUGAAAUGCGUAGAUAUCGGGAGGAACACCAGAGGCGAAGGCGGCUUUCUGAGCUAUUCCUGACGCUGAGACACGAAAGCUAGGGGAGCA